GACGAACGCUGGCGGCGUGCUUAACACAUGCAAGUCGUGGGCACCAGCAAUGGUGACCGGCGAACGGGUGCGUAACACGUGAGCGACCUACCGAUUUGUGGGGGAUAGCCGGCCCAACGGCCGGGUAAUACCGCAUACGCCGAGCUUGCCGCAUGGCUUGCUCGGGAAACCUCCGGGGCAAAUCGAGGGGCUCGCGGCCUAUCAGCUAGUUGGCGAGGUAAUGGCUCACCAAGGCGACGACGGGUAGCUGGUCUGAGAGGAUGGCCAGCCACAUUGGGACUGAGAAACGGCCCAGACUCCUACGGGAGGCAGCAGUGGGGAAUCUUGCGCAAUGGCCGAAAGGCUGACGCAGCGACGCCGCGUGUGGGAUGAAGCUCUUCGGGGUGUAAA
rnacentral:rRNA from 1 species